UACGUAGGGUGCAAGCGUUAAUCGGAAUUACUGGGCGUAAAGCGUGCGCAGGCGGCUUUGCAAGACAGAUGUGAAAUCCCCGGGCUUAACCUGGGAACUGCAUUUGUGACUGCAUGGCUGGAGUACGGCAGAGGGGGAUGGAAUUCCGCGUGUAGCAGUGAAAUGCGCAGAUAUCUGGAGGAACACCGGUGGCGAAGGCGGCACCCUGGACCGAUACUGACGCUGAGGAGCGAAAGCCAGGGGAGCAAACAGG
rnacentral:rRNA from 1 species